CUUAUUGCCUUGCUACUGUCUGUCUGCCAUGAACUGCUGUCACUCUGCCACCCUGCCUUGGAGCCAGCCCACUAUGGACUGAAAUCUCUAUGAACUAUGAGCAACUUCCUUCGCCAUGUACUCCCACAAUGAUGUACUGUGCUGCUACAGGCUGAAAGCAACAGGCUAACCAACCAUGGAUUGAAAUCUCCAAAACUGUGCUCCAAUAGUUGACAAGAUCUCGUAGGAUGGAAGGAGACUGCCUCUCUGAG
ensembl:lncRNA